UCAGUACGUAAUUUCUACUUUAAUCCCCGCCGUUCGUGAUAUUAUCUAUGUUACAUGUACCAUAUGUAAUAUUGUUGGCCAAAAGAUCCUGUGUUAGACAUAUGUUGUUCCAGUCAUGCGUGUCACGUUCAAUCUGGAUAGUUCCGCCAUCGCGGCUGCAGAACUGGUACGGAAGCCAUUUUGAUUUGACAUUUCCCUUCGGAAUACUGACUGUCUAACCGCUUGUGUUCACUGACGAGGUCCAUGAAGCGUGUCUUUGGUAGAAGUGUUGGCAACGACAAUAGCCAGAGUUCUGGCUUGCAACAAUAUCAUGAGAUCUCAAGCAAGGCUAUCGGAACAAUCUCGCCUUCUUUCACAAGAAAUAUCCUCCAAGAACGAGUGUGAAGACAUUAUGCUUUGAUCAUUGAAGGCUAUACCGAUCGAUAAUGGAAAACCUGAUAAAAAGAGAGAGCAAGAAAAUAUGUCUGCCUCUAAGCCAUUGCACCGACUGACGCGAGUGUUCAUGUUGGCAUUUAUACGACUUUUCAUACACGUGCUAGUCCAUGCAUAAAUAAUGUGUAGAAUUCAGCAUUGUAGCUACAUGGGAUGGACUCUACGUGAAUAUUAAUUUGCAGUUUGGAGAAAUAUGGGAAUAUCACACGCUUAUUUGUUUGCUCGGUGCAUUGAUCGAGAUGGAUGGUUUAACCAAGUGGUGUAUAUACUGGUGAACCGUUCUUAACGUAUGCGCCUAAGAUCAUUUUUCCUGGAGAAGUUUUUAAAAAGGUUAAAAGUAUUCACUCGAGACAGUUACGCAUGUGUGUUAUUGUUCUUUAGACAGUUGCAAAAAUAUUAAACAUAAUUUAAUUGUUUUAAUUAAUAUAUGUGUGGCUUUAUGUCAUUGUAAUGUCUUAAUGAACGAAUAAAUGUAGAUAUUGAAACAUAUUUCGCAUUAAGCUAUUGAAGAUAUAUAAUAUAUAUAUGGUUAUGAUAUACUGACUUGGUGUGUAAAUGUAAUAUAUAUUAUGUGUAUUUCAUGUAUCAUUUCAGUGAACAAUAAAUGUGUUUGUGACAUUUC